rnacentral:rRNA from 1 species
GACAGAGGGUGCAAACGUUGUUCGGAAUUACUGGGCGUAAAGCGCGUGUAGGCGGUCUGAAAAGUCAGGCGUGAAAUCCCCGGGCUCAACCCAGGGACUGCGCUUGAUACGGCUGUGCUCGAGGAUGGGAGAGGGCCGCGGAAUUCCCAGUGUAGAGGUGAAAUUCGUAGAUAUUGGGAAGAACACCGGUGGCGAAGGCGGCGGCCUGGUCCAUUUCUGACGCUGAGGCGCGACAGCGUGGGGAGCAAACAGG